AGGUAACGGCUAGUGAAUGUGUAGAGAAAUCUGUCCGAAGAGCGAAUCACGUGACAUUUGUGUUGUGCGUGAACUCGUGUUCACUCUCAGUCAGUUGUAGGUAGUCGUUGGCGGACAAAGGAGGACAAAGGACGAACACAGGAAGGAAGCUCGGGAGCCAGAGACUUUAGUAUUCCCAUGGAAAUGUGAAAUGGUGCCAGUCCUUUAAUAGAGACAGUGAGGGAGCCAGAUACGGUGCAAGUCCUUCUGUAUGUUCCCUGCCUUCAAUCUUCUAGACCUCUACUGCUGGUGUCUUCUGUUCAGAAGUAUAUUUUCUUUAAGUUUUGGCGCAGACAGAGACGGGCAAAAAUGACUGAUGAAUAAAACUAUAACAACAACAAUUAAGCAACAUCAGACCAGCUAACAUAGACGCUGAACUACCAGCAGCUGCUGGAAAUGUGGGACAGAGUUAGCAUUGAAUAACUUCCAGCUGGAUCUUGUCUGGAACUUUCUGGAGUUCAUUUGAACCACAUCUGUACAGUCAACACUAUAAUUCAGAUCUGUUGUAGGGUUCAUGGAGGUCAUAGCCAACAUAAUACAGAUGCCCCUGUUCCAAGAUUCAUUCCUGCAAACCAAGACCAAACUGAUGGAUAAAGUAUCGGCUAAUUCAUUUGUGUCCCUUGCUUGAAGCUGCUUCCCAUGGAAUUUUUUCACGAAGUCAUUGACUGUCGACGUGGCAUGAAGACGGAAUGUACUGAUCAGACCAAGUUUCUUGCUGUUUCCUGGCAGCCAAUGGAAGAGCCGAGAAUACCAGUGCGAGUCAAGUGUUGAAUAGCACAGAUUCCGAGCAUUGUUUCUCUCUGGUCAGAAAAAAAAAUCAGAGAAAUAACUUAUCAAUGAUAUAUGUCUGUUAGUAAUGAUUGAUCGCAGACUGAAUGCUACCAUGGGUCUACUGACAAGCUGGAAAGAUACAAAGAUGAAGAUAAUUUAUUAAACUUACUGAACAGGACAUUGGAGAAUAUUCAGUUGUGAAAGUGAAAUAGACAUUAAAAAUAUUAAGAUCAAGUGCAAAUUUGAUGGUUCAUGAUUGACAUUAACACUUACUGAAUGUAACAUUAAAGGAUGUUCAAGUGUGACAGUGAAAUAGGCAUUAAACAUUAAAGAUCAAGUUGUGGUUUAAGAUAAAAUACUGAAAAGAACAACACCAGGAUGUUCACAUUAAUGUUACAAUUUAUUUUAUGGCAUUUAGAACCUUAGCAUUAAGGUAUUGGACCCGUAAUAGAGUACCUCCUUUUUGAAGAGUAUUCAGUUCCUACCAUAAACCUACUUUGACUGCAAUU
rnacentral:lncRNA from 1 species